UACGUAGGGUGCAAGCGUUACUCGGAAUCACUGGGCGUAAAGGGUGCGUAGGCGGCUCAUUAAGUUGGAUGUGAAAGCCCUCGGCUCAACCGAGGAACUGCGUCCAAAACUGGCGAGCUCGAGGAUGGUAGGGGACAGUGGAACUCCAGGUGGAGCGGUGAAAUGCGUAGAGAUCUGGAGGAACGCCGGUGGCGAAAGCGACUGUCUGGGCCAUUCCUGACGCUGAGGCACGAAAGCCAGGGGAGCAAACGGG
rnacentral:rRNA from 1 species